rnacentral:rRNA from 1 species
GACGAACGCUGGCGGCGUGCUUAACACAUGCAAGUCGAACGGAAAGGCCCUGCUUUUGUGGGGUGCUCGAGUGGCGAACGGGUGAGUAACACGUGAGUAACCUGCCCUUGACUUUGGGAUAACUUCAGGAAACUGGGGCUAAUACCGGAUAGGAGCUCCUGCUGCAUGGUGGGGGUUGGAAAGUUUCGGCGGUUGGGGAUGGACUCGAGGCUUAUCAGCUUGUUGGGGGGGUAGUGGCUUACCAAGGCUUUGACGGGUAGCCGGCCUGAGAGGGUGACCGGCCACAUUGGGACUGAGAGACGGCCCAGACUCCUACGGGCGGCAGCAGUGGGGAAUAUUGCACAAUGGGCGGAAGCCUGAUGCAGCAACGCCGCGUGCGGGAUGACGGCCUUCGGGUUGUAAACCGCUUUCGCCUGUGACGAAGCGUGAGUGACGGUAAUGGGUAAAGAAGCACCGGCUAACUACGUG